AGCGAACGCUGGCGGCAGGCCUAAUACAUGCAAGUCGAGCGGGUCCUUCGGGAUUAGCGGCGGACGGGUGAGUAACGCGUGGGAACGUGCCCUUUGGUACGGAACAACUGAGGGAAACUUCAGCUAAUACCGUAUGUGCCCUUCGGGGAAAGAUUUAUCGCCAUUGGAGCGGCCCGCGUUGGAUUAGGUAGUUGGUGAGGUAAAGGCUCACCAAGCCUACGAUCCAUAGCUGGUCUGAGAGGAUGACCAGCCACACUGGGACUGAGACACGGCCCAGACUCCUACGGGAGGCAGCAGUAGGGAAUCUUGCGCAAAUGGGGCGAAAAGCCUGACGCAGCCAUGCCGCGUGAAAUGAUGAAGGUCUUAGGAUUGUAAAAUUCUUUCACCGGGGACGAUAAUGACGGUACCCGGAGAAGAAGCCCCGGCUAACUUCGUGCCAGCAGCCGCGGU
rnacentral:rRNA from 1 species